UUUGGAGGGCAAGUCUGGUGCCAGCAGCCGCGGUAAUUCCAGCUCCAAUAGCGUAUAUUAAAGUUGUUGCAGUUAAAAAGCUCGUAGUUGAAUUUCGGGAUCAUCAGGUUGGUCGUGCCAUUGGUAUGUACUAGCUUUGGUGGUUCCUACCUCUUGAAGAACCGUAAUGUCAUUAACUUGGUGUUGCGGGGAAUCAGGACUGUUACUUUGAAAAAAUUAGAGUGUUUAAAGCAGGA
rnacentral:rRNA from 1 species